AGUGGCGGACGGGUGAGUAACGCGUGGAUAACCUGCCUUUCACAGGGGGAUAACAGCUGGAAACGGCUGCUAAUACCGCAUGAGCCUCUUUUAUCGCAUGACGGGAGAGGGAAAGAGAAAUCGGUGAGAGAUGGAUCCGCGUCCGAUUAGCUAGUUGGAGGGGUAAAAGCCCACCAAGGCGACGAUCGGUAGCCGACCUGAGAGGGUGGACGGCCACAUUGGGACUGAGACACGGCCCAAACUCCUACGGAAGGCAGCAG
rnacentral:rRNA from 1 species